rnacentral:rRNA from 1 species
AGUGAACGCUGGCGGUAGGCCUAACACAUGCAAGUCGAACGGCAGCACAGUAAACUCUUGCUCUUACGGGUGGCGAGUGGCGGACGGGUGAGGCAUACGUCGGAAUCUUCUUUUUCGUGGGGGAUAUCGUAGGGCAACUUACGCUAAUACCUCAUACGUCCUACGGGUGAAAGCAGGUGAUCUUCGGACCUUUCGCUCUUGAAUGAGCCGCUGUCGGAUUAGCUAGUUGGCGGGUUAAAGGCCCACCAAGGCGACGAUCCGUAGCUGGUCUGACAGGAUGAUCAGCAACACUGGAACUGAGACACGGUCCAGACUCCUACGGGAGGCAGCAGUGGGGAAUAUUGGACAAUGGGCGCAAGCCUGAUCCAGCCAUACCGCGUGGGUGAAGAAGGCCUUCGGGUUGUAAAGCCCUUUUGUUGGGAAAGAAAAGCAGCAGGUUAAUACCCCGCUGUUCUGACGGUACCCAAAGAAUAAGCACCGGCUAACUUCGUG